AAUGGGGGCAACCCUGAUCCAGCCAUGCCGCGUGAGUGAAGAAGGCCUUCGGGUUGUAAAGCUCUUUCGGCCGGGAAGAAAUCGCAUGGGUGAAUACCCUGUGUGGAUGACGGUACCGGAACAAGAAGCACCGGCUAACUACGUGCCAGCAGCCGCGGUAAUACGUAGGGCGCGAGCGUUAAUCGGAAUUACUGGGCGUAAAGCGUGCGCAGGCGGUUUGGUAAGACAGGCGUGAAAUCCCCGGGCUCAACCGGGGACCUGCAUUUGUGACCGCAAAGCUGGAGUGCGGCAGAGGGGGAUGGAAUUCCGCGUGUAGCAGUGAAAUGCGUAGAUAUGCGGAGGAACACCGAUGGCGAAGGCAAUCCCCUGGGCCUGCACUGACGCUCAUGCACGAAAGCGUGGGGAGCAAA
rnacentral:rRNA from 1 species